UUCCCACAAUAUAAAUUGUUGGGAUUUGUUAACACAAAUGGAGGCCCAAACCAAGUGCUAAGCUAUAAACUAUAAAGGAAAGAUGAAGAUGAACAAAUGUUGCUUGAGAGUGUUUCUUCUAAUGCCACGUUACUGAGUGAUAUCAACACGUAAAAACUAAAACAGAACACAUGCAAUGAACGAUGGAAAAGAAGAAGACGAUGUGAGUUAUGUGGUUCAGUUUUAAUGACCUACAUUUACAAGAAGGGACAUUUCUCGAAGAAAACUAUCCAGUAUAACAAACAGUGGCGGAUCUAGAACUUCAUGUGAGAGGUGUACCUGUAUAAGGUAAUCGAGUGGUGCGUUCAGGGAGAAGUCAGACAUCCACAACCAGGAACUUGGUAAUCUUAUAGGACAUGACUUGGAUCCAAUAGAAGAACAACAGUAGUGGAAUUUUUAAGAUUUGUGUAAAACUUGAUGUAUCAACUAUAGUCUUUAAUCAAUUUUGUAUAAACGCUGUCUUAGAAUUAGGUUGGGAUUUCUUCAUACUCUUUCUUAAGUCUUGGGUUAUGGGUUAAAGCUUGGGAGGGGGUGUGACAUGAAUGUACUCAACCAAGUACUUCUACAAAUCUUCGAGAGUACAAGAGAAAA